rnacentral:rRNA from 1 species
GACGAACGCUGGCGGCGUGCUUAACACAUGCAAGUCGAACGGUGAAGCGCCUUCCUUUUUGGUGGGUGUGGAUGAGUGGCGAACGGGUGAGUAACACGUGAGUAACCUGCCCCCUUCUUCUGGAUAACCGCAUGAAAGUGUGGCUAAUACGGGAUAUUCUGGGUCUGUCGCAUGAUGGGUCUGGGAAAGAUAUUGUUUCGGUGGGGGAUGGGCUCGCGGCCUAUCAGCUUGUUGGUGGGGUGAUGGCCUACCAAGGCGGUGACGGGUAGCCGGCCUGAGAGGGUGGACGGUCACACUGGGACUGAGACACGGCCCAGACUCCUACGGGAGGCAGCGGUGGGGAAUAUUGCACAAUGGGCGCAAGCCUGAUGCAGCGACGCCGCGUGAGGGAUGGAGGCCUUCGGGUUGUGAACCUCUUUCGCCAGUGAAGCAGGCCUGCCUCGUUUGUGGGUGGGUUGACGGUAGCUGGAGAAGAAGCGCCGGCUAACUACGUG